UGCUAUUUAGUUUAACAGGGAAAACAAAUUAUUAUAAUUAAGAAGCCAAAGGUUCGAGUCCUUUAAUAGUAA
rnacentral:tRNA from 1 species